UUAAUUCGGCAAGAUGUUCUAGUAAACAGGCAGGUGCAGAGUGUUAUUACAGCAGAGAAUAUUAUCUGAUUUCUUGAAACAUCACCAUGAUUAUUUGAUAGAAUGAACGAGUGUUUCAGGUUCAGCCAUUACGACUUAUGUCAGGGGAGAUUUAGGAGUUAAUGGGUGCUGCAAAUCGAGCUGUUUCACCGAUGAUGAUCUUUUUGUUUUUCAUUCCGAUAUUACAGUAAGCUCAUUUCAGUUUCUUCAGACUGUUGCCCUUUGCAUGAAGCUCAACCCCCCAUGGCCUGAAUGUUUGCUUUUAUAAGGAGUCGACUUUCUUCACGAGUUUGUGACAAUAUUUUGGACUUUGGACCGCAGUUCACAUGCAUUUCUUUCUAAUAGUGCAUUUUCAAAAUAAGUUCCCAUCACUCAAGUCUUUCCAGGAAUUGGAAUUUCACCAAGUUUUUGAUCAACAGAGAAGGUCAGGUGGUGAAGAGAUAUGGACCCCUGGAUGAUCCAAGUGUGGUGGAGAAGGAUCUUCCCCGAUACCUUUAAACAUCUAAUAGAUGAAUGAUGCUUCCUGAUACUCUGUCCAUUUUGACCAAUUCCUUUCUGUGCCUCUCCAAGCACCAGGGGAUAUAGUUUGGGUCCACCCCAGACCAGUGACGGUCUGUCCAUAAACCUGCAUGGCGGACAGGGCAGACCUGAUGAAAAUGGCGUGCAAACCUCCUGGGACGAACUCCAAGCUUGUUUUCAACUGUUUGGUCUGGAGAGACGGAGAAAGGAUCUAGCAAUGCAUCAUUAGCUCUUUUAGUUAAUUAAUGUCUGGCAUCGUUUUCAUAAUAAAGUCAUAUAGUAAUAAAUA